AUUGAACGUUGGCGGCAGGCCUAAUACAUGCAAGUCGAACGGCAGCACAGAGAGCUUGCUCUUGGGUGGCGAGUGGCGGACGGGUGAGUAACGCGUAGGAAUCUACCCAGUAGCGGGGGAUAGCCCGGGGAAACUCGGAUUAAUACCGCAUACGCCCCACGGGGGAAAGGCCGGGAUCUUCGGACCGGUCACUAUUGGAGGAGCCUGCGUUGGAUUAGCUUGUUGGUGGGGUAAAGGCCUACCAAGGCUACGAUCCAUAGCUGGUCUGAGAGGACGAUCAGCCACACUGGAACUGAGACACGGUCCAGACUCCUACGGGAGGCAGCAGUAGGGAAUAUUGUGCAAUGGGCGAAAGCCUGACACAGCCAUGCCGCGUGUGUGAAGAAGGCCCUAGGGUUGUAAAGCACUUUCAGU
rnacentral:rRNA from 1 species